rnacentral:rRNA from 1 species
GGCAAAUUUAUCUCGUAACUUAGGGAGAAGAGAUACUUAUUUAGUUGAAAACAAAAAAUUUAAGCGACUGUUUAACAAAAACACAAAUCUUUGCUAAAUCGAAAGAUGAUGUAUAAAGAUUGACAUCUGCCCAGUGCUAUUAUGUAAAAAUAAUAUUUAUAAUUUAAAAUUAUAAUAUAUAUAUAAGCUAUAGUAAACGGCGGCUGUAUCUAUAACGGUCCAAAGGUAGCGAAAUUCCUUGUCGGGUAAGUUCCGACCUGCAUGAAAGAUGUAACGACUUAAAUGCUG